GGUCGAAAUUUAUUUGUUCUUGCAUCCGCGACACAUUCCAGCCGCGAGCAGGCGAAAAAUAAUGAAAUGAGGAAUCACCAACAUCUUCCCGACCGGGUCCAGUGACACUUGAGGAUCGAGAGAAUGACUGACACCGUGAGCUUGGAUGAGAAAAAGGUAAAAAACGAGUAUGAGAAAUAAUCACGAAACGGUAAUCCGAUUUGGAGAGGUCGACGACAAAACUGAAUUCACAGCAAUACGCGACCGGCCAUUUAAAUGCGUCGUGCUUCUUCGACAGUUUGUGCCGUGACUUCUUCUCCCCUUCUCCACUAGCCGUCUUUAAGGCAAUAACGUCACUGGAGAACAAUCCAAUCGGAGGCAUAAAGGCUCUGCUUCGGGGCCUGUUCGCUUUUCUGCCUAUUUCUCGACAGCUUCAAAAGUCUUUCUAACGAUUGUCACACUUCGUUCCUCGUAAUUACAACGAAACGAUACUUAUCGUCAAGCCAAACAGAGCAGAUAUUGUUCGUGCGAGGAGGAUCACAUUUGUAUUUCGACUGAUUCGAUGAAAGGUGACUUGAUUCACGGAACAUGAUGGAGAGGGAAAUAAACAAAGAUGUGACAUCGAAUUCGUGUACCGAGGAAAAUUAGUAAUAUAGUGAUAUUCAUGAUAUGGUACGAGAAUCUUUUUAAUCUGGAUGUAUUUCGAAACUAAACAACUCGAUUUAUCUCCCCCGAGGUGUAAUCUCUUAGAGAUCUGGUGGAUAAUACGUGUUUUAUCUUCUGUUAAUCCGAUCAAGAGAAGAUCGUGGCUGCGGUAGCAGAUGGAGUGUGAAGGGAAUAAGACAGAUAAGUAAUAUAUAGGCUUCCCGCAAUGAUUUACUCGUUUAAAAAAAUAUGCUCAUUGUGUUGAUUCGAGGCUUACCAAUUCUGAAAAAUCAUCCCAUGUGACUCGCGUCAUGGUUUUCACCAUUCCUGAGAUUACGAUACAGAUAUUCAUUGAUAAUUUCGUUUUU